rnacentral:rRNA from 1 species
AGUGAACGCUGGCGGUAGGCCUAACACAUGCAAGUCGAACGGCAGCACAGUAAGAGCUUGCUCUUACGGGUGUCGAGUGGCGGACGGGUGAGGAAUACAUCGGAAUCUACUUUUUCGUGGGGGCUAACGUAGGGAAACUUACGCUAAUACCGCAUAUGACCUACGGGUGAAAGCAGGGGAUCUUCGGACCUUGCGCGAUUGGAUGAGCCGAUGUCGGAUUAGCUAGUUGGCGGGUUAAAGGCCCACCAAGGCGACGAUCCGUAGCUGGUCUGAGAGGAUGAUCAGACAGACUGGAAGUGAGAAAGGGCAGAGACUCCGACGGGAGGAAGCAGCGGGGAAUAUUGGAGAAUGGGGGAAAGCCUGAUCCAGCCAUACGGCGUGAGUGAAGAAGGACUUAGGGUUGGAAAGCCAUGUUGUUGGGAAAGAAAAGCAGCAGGUUAAUACCCCGCUGUAAUGACGGUACCGAAAGAAUAAGCACCGGCUUACUUCGUG